GAUGAACGCUGGCGGCGUGCCUAAUACAUGCCAGUCGAGCGAACAGACGAGGAGCUUGCCCCUCUGACGUUAGCGGCGGACGGGUGAGUAACACGUGGAUAACCUACCUAUAAGACUGGGAUAACUUCGGGAAACCGGAGCUAAUACCGGAUAAUAUAUUGAACCGCAUGGUUCAAUAGUGAAAGACGGUUUUGCUGUCACUUAUAGAUGGAUCCGCGCCGCAUUAGCUAGUUGGUAAGGUAACGGCUUACCAAGGCAACGAUGCGUAGCCGACCUGAGAGGGUGAUCGGCCACACUGGAACUGAGACACGGUCCAGACUCCUACGGGAGGCAGCAGUAGGGAAUCUUCCGCAAUGGGCGAAAGCCUGACGGAGCAACGCCGCGUGAGUGAUGAAGGUCUUCGGAUCGUAAAACUCUGUCAUUAGGGAAGAACAAAUGUGUAAGUAACUAUGCACGUCUUGACGGUACCUAAUCAGAAAGCCACGGCUAACUACGUG
rnacentral:rRNA from 1 species